rnacentral:lncRNA from 1 species
UUUCUAGGUCAUCGCUCUCCCUGUGUGGCAACCCCAGUCCAGCCAGUUGCCGCAUCCUCUUUCAGGAAAUGAGUCAGAGCCUGAGAAAAAGCGGGCACCUCAAGAAAGCAGGGAGCAAAAAACAGAGUUUCUGAGAGCAGGGGCCAUCUGUUUGAUGGUCAGCUCCUCCCCUGGCACCUGGGCCAGGUCAGCCGAUGCUCUGUGUGGCCAAGAGAGGGCCAGACCUGGCCUCUGGCUGUGAGCGGCUGGGAUGGCGAGCAAGACCCAGCUACAUACCUGUCUUCAGCCCCUGCGACUGGGAGAGCAGCAACUCAGAGAUCAGCCAUUUCACUCUUC